UUCCUCUACCGCUCCGACAGCGACUACGACCUGUCGCCCAAGACCAUGUCCAGGAACUCCUCCCUGCCCAGCGAGCAGCACGGGGACGACCUGAUCGUCACACCUUUCGCACAGGUCCUGGCAAGCUUGCGGAGCGUGAGGAA